rnacentral:rRNA from 1 species
AUACGGAGGGGGUUAGCGUUGUUCGGAAUUACUGGGCGUAAAGCGCACGUAGGCGGAUUGGAAAGUUGGGGGUGAAAUCCCAGGGCUCAACCCUGGAACUGCCUCCAAAACUAACAGUCUAGAGUUCGAGAGAGGUGAGUGGAAUUCCAAGUGUAGAGGUGAAAUUCGUAGAUAUUUGGAGGAACACCAGUGGCGAAGGCGGCUCACUGGCUCGAUACUGACGCUGAGGUGCGAAAGCGUGAGGAGCAAACAGGAUUAGAAACCCUAGUAGUCC